UAUAUACACAAACGUCACUAUUGAAACUAUGUAGUCACGCGCCUGUACUCAUUCCAAAACAAUUAAUUUGAAUUAACUAAUCGCUUCCCGUCCGUGUCAAUCAUUGAACAAUUUCAACUGCCACUCAGGGAUCACAGAAUUCUUGUUUCACCUUGCUUAAAUCCGCGUACACGAUAAAAAUGUAAAAUACUCUAAUGCCAGACUAAAGGGCCAAACGUAUUUCGCAUCAUGUGCAUCGCGUUUAGAGAUUCGCGCGUGUAAACACAAUAUCAGUGCGUCCACCCGAGCCACGCGAAAGUUACCAAAAGAAUUGAACAAAUGUAUCUAUCUCGUUCCUUUGUAUAUGCAAUUGUCAUCGACAAUUAGUCAAUUUAAUGUCUAAACUUUGACGAACUUCGGGCUAAAUUUCAUAAUCAAAAUGUUGCAAAAAUUUUGUAAGUAAUUUCUGUGAUUGGAUAUGUAUUUAUUUGGAAUAGAAACGAAUGAGUAACGAUUUCGAGUUCUGUGCGUGUGACAUUCUCAAGUAGUCCACGUCUUUCCCAUGAGGUAUUUAGUGGUGCAAGACCCGUUUUCGAGAUAUUGAGUAUCUUGUUCUUUCUUAGUGACCGAAUUUUUCAUACAUCUACUGAUUAAGCGUUUCCUGUUAAUUCAACAUGCCGAAGAAUAAGGGAAAGGGAGGUAAAAAUAGGAGAAGAGG